UACGUGAGGGGGCAAGCGUUGUCCGGAAUUAUUGGGCGUAAAGAGCGCGCAGGCGGUCGUUCAAGUCGAGUGUGAAAGCCCCCGGCUCAACUGGGGAGGGUCACUCGAUACUGAUCGACUCGAAGGCAGAAGAGGGAAGCGGAAUUCCCGGUGUGAGUGGUGAAAUGCGUAGAUAUCGAGAGGAACACCUGCGGCGAAGGCGGGUUGCUGGGCUGACACUGACGCUGAUGCGCGAAAGCUAGGGGAGCGAAGCAGG
rnacentral:rRNA from 1 species